rnacentral:rRNA from 1 species
AACGAACGCUGGCGGCAGGCUUAACACAUGCAAGUCGAGCGCGUGGCAACACGAGCGGCAGACGGGUGAGUAACGCGUGGGAACGUACCCUUUACUACGGAAUAACGCAGGGAAACUUGUGCUAAUACCGUAUGUGCCCUUUGGGGGAAAGAUUUAUCGGUAAAGGAUCGGCCCGCGUUGGAUUAGCUAGUUGGUGGGGUAAAGGCCUACCAAGGCGACGAUCCAUAGCUGGUCUGAGAGGAUGAUCAGCCACAUUGGGACUGAGACACGGCCCAAACUCCUACGGGAGGCAGCAGUGGGGAAUAUUGGACAAUGGGCGCAAGCCUGAUCCAGCCAUGCCGCGUGAGUGAUGAAGGCCUUAGGGUUGUAAAGCUCUUUCACCGGGGAAGAUAAUGACGGUACCCGGAGAAGAAGCCCCGGCUAACUUCGUGCCAGCCGCCGCAGUAACAC